rnacentral:rRNA from 1 species
AUUGAACGCUGGCGGCAGGCCUAACACAUGCAAGUCGAGCGGAUGAAGGGAGCUUGCUCCUGGAUUCAGCGGCGGACGGGUGAGUAAUGCCUAGGAAUCUGCCUGGUAGUGGGGGAUAACGUCCGGAAACGGGCGCUAAUACCGCAUACGUCCUGAGGGAGAAAGUGGGGGAUCUUCGGACCUCACGCUAUCAGAUGAGCCUAGGUCGGAUUAGCUAGUUGGUGGGGUAAAGGCCUACCGAGGCGACGAUCCGUAACUGGUCUGAGAGGAUGAUCAGUCACACUGGAACUGAGACACGGUCCAGACUCCUACGGGAGGCAGCAGUGGGGAAUAUUGGACAAAGGGCGAAAGCCUGAUCCAGCCAUGCCGCGUGUGUGAAGAAGGUCUUCGGAUUGUAAAGCACUUUAAGUUGGGAGGAAGGGCAGUAAGUUAAUACCUUGCUGCUUUGACGUUACCAACAGAAUAAGCACCGGCUAACUUCGUG